UGGGGAAUAUUGCACAAUGGGCGCAAGCCUGAUGCAGCCAUGCCGCGUGUGUGAAGAAGGCCUUCGGGUUGUAAAGCACUUUCAGCGAGGAGGAAGGUGGUGAACUUAAUACGUUCAUCAAUUGACGUUACUCGCAGAAGAAGCACCGGCUAACUCCGUGCCAGCAGCCGCGGUAAUACGGAGGGUGCAAGCGUUAAUCGGAAUUACUGGGCGUAAAGCGCACGCAGGCGGUUUGUUAAGUCAGAUGUGAAAUCCCCGGGCUCAACCUGGGAACUGCAUUUGAAACUGGCAAGCUAGAGUCUCGUAGAGGGGGGUAGAAUUCCAGGUGUAGCGGUGAAAUGCGUAGAGAUCUGGAGGAAUACCGGUGGCGAAGGCGGCCCCCUGGACGAAGACUGACGCUCAGGUGCGAAAAGCGUGGGGAGCAAACAGGAUUAGAUACCCCUGGUAGUCCACGCUGUAAACGAUGUCGAUUUUGGAGGUUGUGCCCUUGAGGCGUGGCUUCCGGAGCUAACGCGUUAAAUCGACCGCCUGGGGAGUACGGCCGCAAGGUUAAAACUUAAAGGAAUUG
rnacentral:rRNA from 1 species